GACGAACGCUGGCGGCGUGCUUAACACAUGCAAGUCGAACGGAAAGGCCCUGCUUUUGUGGGGUGCUCGAGUGGCGAACGGGUGAGUAACACGUGAGUAACCUGCCCUUGACUUUGGGAUAACUUCAGGAAACUGGGGCUAAUACCGGAUAGGAGCUCCUGCUGCAUGGUGGGGGUUGGAAAGUUUCGGCGGUUGGGGAUGGACUCGCGGCUUAUCAGCUUGUUGGUGGGGUAGUGGCUUACCAAGGCUUUGACGGGUCGCCGGCCUGGGAGGGUGACCGGCCACAUUGGGACUGAGAUACGGCCCAGACUCCUACGGGAGGCAGCAGUGGGGAAUAUUGCACAAUGGGCGGAAGCCUGAUGCAGCAACGCCGCGUGCGGGAUGACGGCCUUCGGGUUGUAAACCGCUUUCGCCUGUGACGAAGCGUGAGUGACGGUAAUGGGUAAAGAAGCACCGGCUAACUACGUG
rnacentral:rRNA from 1 species